rnacentral:rRNA from 1 species
GACGAACGCUGGCGGCGUGCUUAACACAUGCAAGUCGAACGGAAAGGCCCUGCUUUUGUGGGGUGCUCGAGUGGCGAACGGGUGAGUAACACGUGAGUAACCUGCCCUUGACUUUGGGAUAACUUCAGGAAACUGGGGCUAAUACCGGAUAGGAGCCCCUCUUCCAGGGUGGGGGUGGGAAAUUUUCGGCGGUUGGGGAUGGACUCGCGGCUUAUCAGCUUGUUGGUGGGGUAGUGGCUUACCAAGGCUUUGACGGGUAGCCGGCCUGAGAGGGUGACCGGCCACAUUGGGACUGAGAUACGGCCCAGACUCCUACGGGAGGCAGCAGUGGGGAAUAUUGCACAAUGGGCGGAAGCCUGAUGCAGCAACGCCGCGUGCGGGAUGACGGCCUUCGGGUUGUAAACCGCUUUCGCCUGUGACGAAGCGUGAGUGACGGUAAUGGGUAAAGAAGCACCGGCUAACUACGUG